GAUGAACGCUGGCGGCGUGCCUAAUACAUGCAAGUCGAGCGAAGCGGGGACGGGUGAGUAACACGUGGAUAACCUCCUAUAAGACUGGGAUAACUUCGGGAAACCGGAGCUAAACCGGAUAAUUAAAGAUGGAUCCGCGCUGGAUUAGCUAGUUGGUAAGGUAACGGCUUACCAAGGCAACGAUGAAUAGCCGACCUGAGAGGGUGAUCGGCCAAACUGGAACUGAGACACGGUCCAGACUCCUACGGGAGGAGGCGGUAGGGAACUUUCCGCAAUGGGCGAAAUCCUGACGGAGCAACGCCGCGUGGUUGAUGAAGGUCUUCGGAUCGUAAGACUCUGUUAUUAGGGAAGCGGUACCUAAUCAGAAAGCCACGGCUAACUACGUGCCAGCAGCCGCGGUAAUUC
rnacentral:rRNA from 1 species